AGUCGUUGUUUAAUAGCCUACGUAGUGGACUUGCAUAGGGAGCAGGGUGCCAUUUGGGAUUCAGCCCCCCGUCUGGUUGAGCCGUAGCAGCUAGCUUUGAAAGCUAAGGAGCUAACAAAACGCGACAGAGCAGAAAUAAGCGAAGGCAGCAUCUCCGGGAUCUUUACCUGAAAUCCCAAACAACUUCCGGGCCUGUGCUGGGAUUCAGACCUGACUAAUCCAACUAUGGAAUUCACGAUCAACAAAUAAUCACACUGAGAGCAUCGAUCCUUUGUUUUGAGCGUGUGGAAUGGACGGGAUGUGUCGUAGAGGUGGCAGACGUUAAGUAAGGAAUAAAAAAAAAACACAACAGGGUGCUGUUUUAGUAAAAUAAUCAACGACGGUGUCGAAUCCCAAAUGCAUUAUUUUCUUAUAACAGCACAUCAUGAACCGUUUUGUAUCUUUUACGCCACCGACAUUUUCCUACGAAUACAAAUUUGAUUUGUGAAUGAA